CACGAGGUCUGCCAACACCUGCAGAGGUAACCUGAGGCUGAAGACAACCUUUAACACAAGGCAAGGCGUAGGUGUUCCUCAGCCGUGCCAUAAUGUCGUUCUCCGGCUUCCAUAUGAAAAACGGGUGAAGCUGAAAGAAGGGAACCUGGCCAGAGACCCAGUGAUUCCAGCUCCAUCUUCAUCCAGGCCCUCUGAAAGCGUGAACAGUUCCACUGCUGUGUGUCGUGGUCAUAGCCAGGAAGCUGAGGAGGAGGACAGCCAGAGGCAGAUGGCAAUGGUUGGCCUGGUAAAGGGAAAAACAGUGUGUGGUGGCUGCAGCGGGCGCUGACUCGUCACUGUAGAUGUCCCCAGGGAAGAACGUUGCGCUGCAAACAUGGAAUUUUUAUUAAUUACAACAAAACAGAGAAGCAUGUCUGACAUCUGGACCCUGGGUUGUACUUGUUAAGACAGAAUCCUGCCGUAUCCAAAUGUUUGGAUCCUGCCAUGUGUCCUGCAUGUACCAUAUUGUAAAUUAAACCAUUAAAAAAAUGUUUUGAAAUGCAAAAGCUCACCUGGUCCUCUGGCAGUCGGUUCUGUUGGCAG